ACAACUGGUGGCGACCGGCGCACGGGUGAGUAACGCUGUAGCACCUACUAUCAGAGGGGAAUAACCCGGCGAAAGUCGGACUAAUACCGCAUAAAACAGGGGCACGCAUGGUGAUAUUUGUUAAAGAAAUUCGCUGAUAGAUGGGCAUGCGUUCCAUUAGGUAGUUGGUGAGGUAACGGCUCACCAAGCCGACGAUGGAUAGGGGAACUGAGAGGUUGGUCCCCCACACUGGUACUGAGACACGGACCAGACUCCUACGGGAGGCAGCAGUGAGGAAUAUUGGUCAAUGGGCGGGAGCCUGAACCAGCCAAGUCGCGUGAAGGAAGAAGGAUCUAUGGUUCGUAAACUUCUUUUGCAGGGGAAUAAAGUGCGGGACGUGUCCUGUUUUGUAUGUACCCUGAGAAUAAGGAUCGGUAACUCCGUGCCCAGCAGCCGCGGUAAUACGGAGGAUCCGAGCGUUAUCCGGAUUUAUUGGGUUUAAAGGGUGCGUAGGUGGUUGAUAAGUCAGCGGUGAAGUUUGCAGCUUUAACUUGUAAAAUGCCCGUUUGAAAACUGUCGGACUUUGAGUGUCAAAUGAGGUAGGCGGAAUGCGUGGUGUAC
rnacentral:rRNA from 1 species